rnacentral:lncRNA from 1 species
GAACACAGCCCUUCUGGGGAGAGACGGCCUGACCAAGUGGAGAGGGAUCCAGCCCUCCCACCCUCUCUGGACCCCUGCUGUCCUCUCACUCAGUCCACUUCCUGGACCUCCCCCCCACCGUGACCCCGCCUGCAUCCAUGUCCCACCGCCUCCCGCUGGAUGAUUCCCCAGCCCCUGUCCUACUCUCUUUCCCUGUCUCUGGGCUCAGGCUUCAGGGAGCCGGCCCGAGUAGAGCCAGGUAUCAGCCCUGGUACAUCCUUCUCUUCCUCUAGCAGGCACGGGGGGAGCAGCGCCCCAGGUCUCUCCAUGCAGACACGGGACCAGAUUGGGUCCCUGCUUCAGGGGCCCAUGCAUGGCUGCAGGAGACACUCGGAAGCCCCUGAGCCCCACGCCCCCCGAUCCCACAGGGGACUCCCCCCAGCAGAGAGCUCUGCACACGGUGAUGGCUCCCUCACACCACAGCUGCCCCAGGCCCUCGGGGUCCCAGGCUGCCUCCCAGUAGAUGAGCCCCUUUCCUGGGGGUGGGACUCUCCCCCUCACCCUCCGUAUAGGGGUCCGAGGUCUGUCGGACACGCUGGUGUUUGCUCAGACCCCAGGGUGCCCUGCUCCGCAUUGUCCUCCCCAGUGCCUCCUGGGUCCCAUGGGAACCUUUGGGCUCAAAUGAGUCGUAGACGAGCGCAGGGGAGGGGAGUGGCCCCCCAAGUCCUAGUUCCAGAAGCAUCUCAGGUUCCCCAAAUGCCGAGACCCUCCCCUCCCCAGUCCAGCCCCAGCCAGACCUCCACCCCUUCUUCCCUCUUGGUCAGAGAAGGCACUGCAGAGGGUCCUCCAGCAAGCUCGUCCUCACAGGGACCAGAGAGAAGGGUACUCCCGACCGGUGGCGACACAGCACAGAGUCUGCACCCCAAGGGCAGGGGCAGUGGUCCCUCUCCCCUCUGCCCUCUGCCCUCUGCCCUCUGCCCUCUGGAGGUGCCCUCACACGCCCAUGACCUCAUCAGGGUGUCGACGACUCUAAGGGCCUCGCCUCAACCCAAGUUUGGGCCGGAGAUGCUACCAUCUCCUCUGACCCCUCCCUGGGACCCCCGUUUUCUGAGGGUGCCCC